rnacentral:rRNA from 1 species
AGUGAACGCUGGCGGUAGGCCUAACACAUGCAAGUCGAACGGCAGCACAGUAAGAGCUUGCUCUUACGGGUGGCGAGUGGCGGACGGGUGAGGAAUACAUCGGAAUCUACUUUUUCGAGGGGGAUAACGUAGGGAAACUUACGCUAAUACCGCAUACGACCUACGGGUGAAAGCAGGGGAUCUUCGGACCUUGCGCGAUUGAAUGAGCCGAUGUCGGGUUAGCUAGUUGGCGGGGUAAAGGCCCACCAAGGCGACGCUCCGUAGCUGGUCUGAGAGGAUGAUCAGCCACACUGGAACUGAGACACGGUCCAGACUCCUACGGGAGGCAGCAGUGGGGAAUAUUGGACAAUGGGCGCAAGCCUGAUCCAGCCAUGCCGCGUGGGUGAAGAAGGCCUUCGGGUUGUAAAGCCCUUUUGUUGGGAAAGAAAAGCAUCAGGUUAAUACCCCGCUGUUCUGACGGUACCCAAAGAAUAAGCACCGGCUAACUUCGUG